rnacentral:sRNA from 1 species
GGUUCUUUUCUAUAUACUUAAUCGAAUAGAGAAGUUAAGAGGUGGCUAAUCCAUAUAAAUAAGGAGGUGGUACUUAUGUAUCAUAAAUUCUUAUGAAAGGAGGAAGCCUUGAGCGUUUCUAACGCUUUACAAUUAAUGCUGGCUUUCGGUACCUUUAUCGUGGCCUUAAUUGCCU